rnacentral:tRNA from 1 species
GCACUCUUAGCUCAGCUGGAUAGAGCAACGGCCUUCUAAGCCGUAGGUCACAGGUUCGAAUCCUGUAGGGUGUG